AUUGAACGCUGGCGGCAGGCCUAACACAUGCAAGUCGAGCGGAUGAAGGGAGCUUGCUCCUGGAUUCAGCGGCGGACGGGUGAGUAAUGCCUAGGAAUCUGCCUGGUAGUGGGGGAUAACGUCCGUAAACGGGCGCUAAUACCGCAUACGUCCUGAGGGAGAAAGUGGGGGAUCUUCGGACCUCACGCUAUCAGAUGAGCCUAGGUCGGAUUAGCUAGUUGGUGGGGUAAAGGCCUACCAAGGCGACGAUCCGUAACUGGUCUGAGAGGAUGAUCAGUCACACUGGAACUGAGACACGGUCCAGACUCCUACGGGAGGCAGCAGUGGGGAAUAUUGGACAAUGGGCGAAAGCCUGAUCCAGCCAUGCCGCGUGUGUGAAGAAGGUCUUCGGAUUGUAAAGCACUUUAAGUUGGGAGGAAGGGCAGUAAGUUAAUACCUUGCUGUUUUGACGUUACUAACAGAAUAAGCACCGGCUAACUUCGUG
rnacentral:rRNA from 1 species